ensembl:lncRNA
CCGUUGCACUGCGGGGCUGGAGCGGAGCCCGGGCGCGCAGAUCCUGCUCGGCUCCCCCCGCCGGUGCCGGGAGCCCCGAGAGAGGUUCGGCCCCAGCCCCGGGCUGUCAGGGCGCCCGCCCGCCAGCGGGACCGGUCCCCGUGGCCGCUCCGGCGGGUCCUCUAGCAUCUACAGUGCUGGCUCUGCCUCCAUGUGAUGGCCCACUAUGCUGCUGACAUCACAGCCACCCUGGGACUCCAGCUGGAGCAUGGAACCAGGCUACGGAGAGGUCAGAUUUACCUCCUGCGCAUUUGUAGUGGAGACUUCAGUAAUUCCUGCUAUCUGGAUGCUACCCCUAGCAUCCUCUCUGAGGUCUAGGAAUCCAGAGGAUGGAUUCAGGAGGUCACGGAUCACUUCGUUAUAAAUCUGAAGGUGGAAGAGAAAGAGGCACCAGCACUUAAGCCCCCGGGGUUCUCCUUCCAAGAAACCAUCAGCUACUACCUCAGCUGUAAACUCACCCAUGCUGCUCUGCUCCAGCCUCACCUGGUCACCCACUCUGUGGGCUAUGAUAGCAGCAGUUUCCUCCAGCUCAGCUUCAUUGAUUGGACGUAUCCGAAGAGCCACCUGCACACAUACACAGGAAUUGCGCUGGUUAUAAAUACUCCCUCAGCCAGCUCAGACUGAUCCAUCACUGAGUCAUUCUCUCUGUUCAAGUGACAUGAUUACCUACUUAGAAUAAUUUUAUAUUGAUUUUUUUUAUUCUCCAGAAUUUGUUAACCCACCAGAGAAGCUUAAAAUAUUUAAUUCCCCAAUAGUUUUCACUUUGACGAGUGCUAAUUCCCUACUACCCUCUCUGUUUCUAAAGUAAUAGAACCCAAGACUAUUCCGUUUUGCUUACUUCUCUGCCCACCAGCUCCAUUCCCAUUCACAGAUGUGGGAGUGUUUCUGGGUGCUCCAGAGCUAUUAGACACAUUCUGUUUCUAUUGUGUCCCCAAAACACUGAUUACAAUUAUGUUAUUUACUUCUUGGUGUCAGAGUAGUGGAAUUUAAGUUGAGUGAGCACCCAGAUUUGAAGAUUUUGACCUUAGAAUUUGAACAUCAUAAAAAAAUUCUCAUCACUUUAUAUAUUAA